rnacentral:rRNA from 1 species
UACAGAGGUCCCCAAGCGUUGUUCGGAUUCACUGGGCGUAAAGGGUGCGCAGGUGGCCGCGCAAGUUCGAUGUGAAAGCCCCGGGCUUAACCCGGGAAUGGCAUUGAAAACUGCGUGGCUGGAGGAUCGGAGGGGGGACUGGAAUUCUUGGUGUAGAGGUGAAAUUCGUAGAUAUCAGGUAGAACACCAGUGGCGAAGGCGGUCUUCUGGACAGUGACUGACGCUGAGACGCGAAAGCGUGGGGAGCAAACAGGAUUAGAUACCCCAGUAGU